AACGAACGCUGGCGGCAGGCUUAACACAUGCAAGUCGAACGCCCCGCAAGGGGAGUGGCAGACGGGUGAGUAACGCGUGGGAAUCUACCCAGAUCUUCGGAACAACUGAGGGAAACUUCAGCUAAUACCGGAUAAGCCCUACGGGGGAAAGAUUUAUCGGAUUGGGAUGAGCCCGCGUUGGAUUAGCUAGUUGGUGGGGUAAUGGCCAACCAAGGCAACGAUCCAUAGCUGGUAUGAGAGGAUGAUCAGCAACACUGGGGGUGAGACACGGCCCAGACUCCUACGGGAGGCAGCAGUGGGGAAUAUUGGACAAUGUGCGAAAGCCUGAUCCAGCCAUGCCGCGUGAGUGAUGAAGGCCUUAGGGUUGUAAAGCUCUUUCAGUAGGGAAGAUAAUGACGGUACCUACAGAAGAAGCCCCGGCUAACUUCGUGCCAGCCGCCGCGGUAA
rnacentral:rRNA from 1 species